CCUACGGGAGGCAGCAGUGAGGAAUAUUGGUCAAUGGACGAGAGUCUGAACCAGCCAAGUAGCGUGAAGGAUGACUGCCCUAUGGGUUGUAAACUUCUUUUAUAUGGGAAUAAAAUGUUCCACGUGUGGGAUUUUGUAUGUACCAUAUGAAUAAGGAUCGGCUACCUCCGUGCCAGCAGCCGCGGUAAUACGGAGGAUCCGAGCGUUAUCCGGCUUUAUUGGGUUUAAAGGGAGCGUAGGUGGAUUGUUAAGUCAGUUGUGAAAGUUUGCGGCUCAACCGUAAAAUUGCAGUUGAAACUGGCAGUCUUGAGUACAGUAGAGGUGGGCGGAAUUCGUGGUGUAGCGGUGAAAUGCUUAGAUAUCACGAAGAACUCCGAUUGCGAAGGCAGUUCACUGGACUGCAACUGACACUGAGGCUCGAAAGUGUGGGUAUCAAACAGGAUUAGAUACCCCAGUAGUC
rnacentral:rRNA from 1 species